rnacentral:rRNA from 1 species
UGAUCCUGGCUCAGGACGAACGCUGGCGGCGUGCCUAAUACAUGCAAGUAGAACGCUGAAGACUUUAGCUUGCUAAAGUUGGAAGAGUUGCGAACGGGUGAGUAACGCGUAGGUAACCUGCCUACUAGCGGGGGAUAACUAUUGGAAACGAUAGCUAAUACCGCAUAACAGCAUUUAACACAUGUUAGAUGCUUGAAAGGAGCAAUUGCUUCACUAGUAGAUGGACCUGCGUUGUAUUAGCUAGUUGGUGAGGUAACGGCUCACCAAGGCGACGAUACAUAGCCGACCUGAGAGGGUGAUCGGCCACACUGGGACUGAGACACGGCCCAGACUCCUACGGGAGGCAGCAGUAGGGAAUCUUCGGCAAUGGGGGCAACCCUGACCGAGCAACGCCGCGUGAGUGAAGAAGGUUUUCGGAUCGUAAAGCUCUGUUGUAAGAGAAGAACGUGUGUGAGAGUGGAAAGUUCACACAGUGACGGUAACUUACCAGAAAGGGACGGCUAACUACGUGCCA